rnacentral:rRNA from 1 species
CCUACGGGUGGCAGCAGUGGGGAAUAUUGGACAAUGGGGGGAACCCUGAUCCAGCGACGCCGCGUGAGGGAAGAAGUAUUUCGGUAUGUAAAGCUCUAUCAGCAGGGAAGAAAAUGACGGUAUCUGACUUAGAAGCCCCGGCUAACUACGCGCCAGCAGCCGCGGUACUACGUAGGGGGCAAGCGUUAUCCGGAUUUACUGGGUGUGAAGGGAGCGUAGACGGUGCAGCAAGUCUGAUGUGAAAGGUCGGGGCCCAACCCCGGGACUGCAUUGGAAACUGUUGAACUUGAGUACAGGAGAGGUAAGCGGAAUUCCUAGUGUAGCGGUGAAAUGCGUAGAUAUUAGGAAGAACACCAGUGGCGAAGGCGGCUUACUGGACUGUAACUGACGUUGAGGCUCGAAAGCGUGGGGAGCAAACAGGAUUAGAUACCCUUGUAGUC